rnacentral:rRNA from 1 species
CUCAAAGGAAUUGACGGGGGCCCGCACAAGCAGUGGAGUAUGUGGUUUAAUUCGACGCAACGCGAAGAACCUUACCAGGGCUUGACAUAUACAUGAAAGUCUAAGAGAUUAGACCCCUCUUCGGAGCGUGUAUACAGGUGGUGCAUGGUUGUCGUCAGCUCGUGUCGUGAGAUGUUGGGUUAAGUCCCGCAACGAGCGCAACCCCUGUUCUUAGUUACCAGCGAGUUAAGUCGGGAACUCUAAGAAGACUGCCGGUGAUAAAUCGGAGGAAGGUGGGGACGACGUCAAAUCAUCAUGCCCUUUAUGUCCUGGGCUACACACGUACUACAAUGGCUGUAACAAAGGGAAGCUAAGCCGCGAGGUGGAGCAAAACCCAAAAAAGCAGUCUCAGUUCGGAUUGAAGGCUGAAAUUCGCCUUCAUGAAGCCGGAAUUGCUAGUAAUGGCAGGUCAGCAUACUGCCGUGAAUACGUUCCCGGGCCUUGUACACACCGCCCGUCACACCAUGAGAGUUGGGAAUACCCGAAGCCUGUGAGCUAACUUUUAGAGGCAGCAGUCGAAGGUAGAAUCAAUGAUUGGGGUGAAGUCGUAACAAGGUAGCCGUAUCGGAAGGUGCGGCUG